rnacentral:lncRNA from 1 species
GAAAAUAUAGUAAAAAGGUGGAUAGAAAAUUUUGACCAUAUUCUAACCAUUUUCUAAGGAUAUAUGUAGUUUAACCUAGAUCGUAGAUCUGUGUUUGUCAUUCUUAUUUCUUCAGCUUUUUUUUUCAAGCGGCGUUAAGCUUCUUGUCAAUUUAUUUUUUCUACUGAUUUUAUCUUAAUCGAAAGACCUUCCCAUCCCUUUUGUAUUUCUCUGCUUUUUUAUUUUCUACUCUGCUACUUCAUCAUCAUGACCUCUUUCCUUCAUUGCAUGUCAGGUGGAUAAGCUUCAGUGUUGCUGCUUUCACCGUCAUUGUUCCUCUACCCCUUCCAAGGUGAGAUCCAUAUUUUGUGUUUAAAGGACCGUUAUUUAGUGUCAUACUUUGUAAACGAGUAUAGAACCGAACUUGAUUAAUAUACCUAAAUCUGGUUACAGCUGUUUGGUUUUUGUUUUCUAGUCUCAUAUUGAUUAAUUUAGUUUUUUCAAUUGUCGUAGUUCGAGCAUGAAUAUUUUUAAUCUAGUUCUAAUUUAUCUUAUCAUUUUUGUCAAAACACAACUAGGACGGAUCAGUUGAUUGAGACCAUGGAGAAAAACAAGACUAAGAAGAACGAAGAAAAAUUAAGAAGAGCAAAUGAAUACAGAUCAUGUUUUUAAUAUAUGUAUUCUUUUUUUUUGGAACACU